rnacentral:rRNA from 1 species
AUGAGUAUCUUAUGCUGGAACUGUCGAGGCUUGGGGUCGGACUCGACAGUUGGCGAGCUUCGCUGGCUUGUGAAGCUACACCUAUCUUCCCUCCUCUUUUUGUCUGAAACGAAGAUGAGGGACACCCGUGUGAAGAACUUUAUGUGGUCUCUAGGUUUUUCUGGUUGCUAUGCUGUUAGUGUUGUGGGACUCAGCGGCGGCCUUGCUUUGUUUUGGAAGGCUCCGGCUGAUGUUUCUGUG